AGAAACCCAAUUCCUUAGCCCUCCGAAGGCAGAGGUCACAGGUUCGAAUCCUGUCGGGUGCGCCA
rnacentral:tRNA from 1 species